UACAGAGGGGGCAAGCGUUGUUCGGAAUUACUGGGCGUAAAGGGCGCGUAGGCGGCCUGUUAAGUCGAACGUGAAAUCCCCGGGCUCAACCCGGGAACUGCGUCCGAUACUGGCAGGCUUGAAUUCGGGAGAGGGAUGCGGAAUUCCAGGUGUAGCGGUGAAAUGCGUAGAUAUCAGGAGGAACACCGAUGGCGAAGGCAGGUCUCUGGGCAUUAACUGACGCUGAGGAGCGAAAGCAUGGGGAGCGAACAGG
rnacentral:rRNA from 1 species